rnacentral:tRNA from 1 species
GCUAUAGCUCAAUGGUAGAGUGCUUGCCUGAUAUGCACCAGACUUUGGGUUCAAUACCCAACACAAGCU